ACGAACGCUGGCGGCGUGCUUAACACAUGCAAGUCGCACGGAAAGGCACUGCUUUUGUGGGGUGCUCGAGUGGCGAACGGGUGAGUAACACGUGAGUAACCUGCCCUUGACUUUGGGAUAACUUCAGGAAACUGGGGCUAAUACCGGAUAGGAGCUCCUGCUGCAUGGUGGGGGUUGGAAAGUUUCGGCGGUUGGGGAUGGACUCGCGGCUUAUCAGCUUGUUGGUGGGGUAGUGGCUUACCAAGGCUUUGACGGGUAGCCGGCCUGAGAGGGUGACCGGCCACAUUGGGACUGAGAUACGGCCCAGACUCCUACGGGAGGCAGCAGUGGGGAAUAUUGCACAAUGGGCGGAAGCCUGAUGCAGCAACGCCGCGUGCGGGAUGACGGCCUUCGGGUUGUAAACCGCUUUCGCCUGUGACGAAGCGUGAGUGACGGUAAUGGGUAAAGAAGCACCGGCUAACUACGUG
rnacentral:rRNA from 1 species